GACAACGUUCCACUUAAACGAGGUUGUCUUCUUCCCAAGUCCCAGACCUACUUCUCUGAUCUUCUAUGCAACUCUCUCUCUCUUUCAAAACAAUCUCGCAUUUACAUGAAUCGAACACCGACAGAGAGCCGGCAAAGAAUCGCCAUAGUCGAGAUAAACGAUUUUCCUCCUCUCCAAUGGAUGGAUUCGAUCGGUUGCCCCUCCAUUCUUUUAUACGUUGGUCGACAUAAGUUUUGCCCAAAAACCGCAUUGAUUGUGUCGGUUUUCACCCCUUUUGAUGGUCUCUCUCUCUGCGAGAGCCUCUUAGAACCUCUCUCCCUCUCAUAGUCAUUGUGGUGGCGCGGCCCACAUCCUUGUCUCCUCCUCCUCCUCAACUCCUUCUGGUUGUCAUCGUCGUCGGUAGAUGAGUGGGCGGUGGACAGGAGGUGGACGAACUAAUGGUCUGCUCCCGCACUCUGGCAAACGGACAAGGGACCCUGCCCUUGGAUGCAGUGGGCAAAAACCCUCCUCUGCCCAUGCGUAGGGGGGUGUUUGCGGAUAGCACCCCUGGUAUUGACAAUACUGCUAAGUAAACGUUUACCAUAUUUCAUUGAUUGAUUGUAUACAUAGAGCUGUCUCUGUCAAAAGAAAAACUGAAUAAAUACAUUAAUUAAAACAAAACAAAACAAAACAAAACCUUGGAAGCAUUGUUUUAUCGACCAAAUUAGUUGAACUUAAUUUUGAAAAGACAGGCAAGCUUGUAGACGCAUGUUAUUAAUCAUAUCAGGAAUUCGGAACUUCAUUUCA